CCUACGGGUGGCAGCAGUGGGGAAUAUUGGACAAUGGGGGGAACCCUGAUCCAGCCAUGCCGCGUGUGUGAAGAAGGCCCUCGGGUUGUAAAGCACUUUCAGUGAGGAAGAACGCCUGGUGGUUAAUACCCAUCAGGAAAGACAUCACUCACAGAAGAAGCACCGGCUAACUCCGUGCCAGCAGCCGCGGUAAUACGGAGGGUGCGAGCGUUAAUCGGAAUUACUGGGCGUAAAGCGCGCGUAGGUGGCUUGAUAAGCCGGUUGUGAAAGCCCCGGGCUCAACCUGGGAACGGCAUCCGGAACUGUCAAGCUAGAGUGCAGGAGAGGAAGGUAGAAUUCCCGGUGUAGCGGUGAAAUGCGUAGAGAUCGGGAGGAAUACCAGUGGCGAAGGCGGCCUUCUGGACUGACACUGACACUGAGGUGCGAAAGCGUGGGUAGCAAACAGGAGUAGAUACCCUAGUAGUC
rnacentral:rRNA from 1 species